rnacentral:rRNA from 1 species
UACGAAGGUGGCUAGCGUUGUUCGGAAUUACUGGGCGUAAAGGGCGCGUAGGCGGUACUUCAAGUCAGGCGUGAAAGCCCCGGGCUCAACCUGGGAACCGCGCUUGAGACUGGAGAACUAGAGUUCGGGAGAGGAUGGUGGAAUUCCCAGUGUAGAGGUGAAAUUCGUAGAUAUUGGGAAGAACACCGAUGGCGAAGGCAGCCAUCUGGACCGACACUGACGCUGAGGCGCGAAAGCGUGGGGAGCAAACAGG